GCCGAGGUGGUGAAAUGGUAGACACGCCGGAUUCAAAAUCCGGUCGGGCUUACACCCGGUGUGGGUUCGAGUCCCACCCUCGGUA
rnacentral:tRNA from 1 species